rnacentral:rRNA from 1 species
UACGUAGGGCGCAAGCGUUGUCCGGAAUUAUUGGGCGUAAAGAGCUCGUAGGCGGCCUGUUGCGUCCGCUGUGAAAUCCCGGGGCUCAACCCCGGGCGUGCAGUGGAUACGGGCUGGCUGGAGGCAGGCAGGGGAGAACGGAAUUCCUGGUGUAGCGGUGAAAUGCGCAGAUAUCAGGAGGAACACCGGUGGCGAAGGCGGUUCUCUGGGCCUGGACUGACGCUGAGGAGCGAAAGCGUGGGUAGCAAACAGG